GCGGACGUGGCGGAAUUGGUAGACGCGCCACCUUGAGGGGGUGGUGAUUUUUAAUCGUGGGGGUUCAAGUCCCCCCGUCCGCACCA
rnacentral:tRNA from 1 species